GGAGUGAUGCUCGAGUGGUUGAAGAGGCACGCCUGGAAAGCGUGUAUACGUCAACAGCGUAUCGGGGGUUCGAAUCCCCCUUACUCCG
rnacentral:tRNA from 1 species